ACUGUUUUAAAUGUGUUAUGUGAUUGGAUCCCCAACUAAUGGCUCUAGGCAUUUUUAUUUCAAUUUAUAAUUGAUGUACGCCGGAUUUGAAGCAUAGGAUUUUAUGAAAUUUAUUUUAUUGCAAAAGUUAUAAUUUUAUAAAUUUGAUGUAAAAUUGUCCUCGCCCCGAUACCUUCGCUGGAAACUCCUCGAAACCACUGCCGAAAAAUCACCGGAAACAUGCUAUUUAGUUUUUUCUCUGACAUUAGUGUUAUUGAGUUUUUAUAAAUAAAUUGAAAAUUUAAUUUUAAAUUAAAGUGUGUUUAUAAAUUAAUCAAGUCCUGAAAGUUUCAUCAACGAACAAAAAGUGAAGACAGAGGUGUCUCCAGACGAACUCUUCUGAGAAUGUUUAGAACGAUAUUCGUAGUUUUAGGAUCAUCUGUGCAAUCGAAUUCGAUUAUGAUUGUUAGGUUGAGCCAAUGGAUGCCAAUCUUGGGGCAUGAGAGUGGAGACUCAAAUGGUUAACCUAGUCACGUUAUGAACAUGUUGAAUAGACCGGUAACAAAGAGUUUAGAGCCCAAAACCAUUUACCAAGCUCUAAAUCUAAUUGUUACACCUUAAGGGUAUUUUUGUAAUCACAUUAAUCCUGAGGUGCAUGCGUAGCUUGACUUAGUUACUUGCAAUCUUUGAUAUGUCAAAUGAGUGAGUUUGAAUUGGCGGGUAAUAUCUCGGCUGUUGGGAUCAUACGAUGUCAGGAAUAAAUAGGUUGAGAAUUUAUGGAGAUACAUUUAUUGAGUAUUUGAAUCUUUAGCUUUGUUCAUGUGGGUCCAUUGGGUCUCAGAAAUAGCUCAUGAGAACAGGAAUAGAGAAACGAAGUAAAUUGGAUCAAAAUGUGUUUUGGUACCAAUGCAUAUUUCCUACACCUAUAUGUGAUGGGUGUUGUCACUUAAUUAGUUAAGUGUGAUUAUAUGUAUUAAAAUUAAUUAGUUUAUUAUUUUUUAAUUAUUAGAUAUUAGUACAUAAUAAAUAAAUAAAUAAAUUGAUAAUGAUCAAUUAAACCUAUCAAUUGGAUUGAUGAAUCUCGAUACAACUCAAACUCUUGGAAAUAUUGCAAUUUUCGGCAACUAUGAAUAUAUGGGGUGAAUUUUCAAAAAUUUAAAAUAUAUAUGGCUAUAUUUAUAAAUAUCAAAAAUCACAUUUUAUCAAUUAAUCUAUCAACUGAAUUUAUGAAUCUCGAUACAACUCAAACUCUUGGGAAUAUUGCAAUUUCAGCAAUUAUGAAUAUACGAGGUUAAUUUGCAGAAAUUUAAAAAUAUAUGGCUAUAUUUAUCAAUAUCUUAAAGGAAAGCACAUGCACAAGCAGUGGUGGACGAAGCACAAGUGAGAAUGUCGGCUUGAGUAACGCAAACAGUGGUGAGAAUCCAAUGCCCCGAAAACCUAAGGGUUCCUCCGUAAGGUUCGUCCACAGAGGGUGAGUCAGGGCCUAACAUCAGGCCAAAAAGCGUAGUCGGUGGAAAACAGGUGAAUAUUCCUGUACUACCCCUUAUUGGUCCCGAGGGAAAGAGAAGGCUAAGUUAACCGAAAGAUGGUUAUCGAUUCAAGGACGCGAGGUGCCCCUAUUUUUUCUGGGUAGAGGGGGUAGAGAAAAUACCUCGAGCCAAUGUUCAAGUACCAAGCGCUACGGCGCUGAAGUAAACCAUGCCAUACUGCCAGGAAAAGCAUGAACGACCUUCAGCAAAAGGGUACAUGUACCCGAAACCGAUACAUGUGGGUAGGUAAAGAAUAUCUAGGGGCGCAAGACAACUCUCUCUAAGGAACUCGGCAAAAUAGCCUCAUCACUUCAGGAGAGAGGGUGCCUCCUCACAAAGGGGGUCGCAGUGACCAGGCCCGGGCGACUGUUCACCAAAAACACAGGUCUCUGUAAAGUCAUAAGACCAUGUAUGGGGGCUGAUGUCUGCCCAGUGCCAGAAGGUCAAGGAAGUUGGUGACCUGAUGACAGGGGAGCCGGUGACCAAAUCCCUGGUGAAUGGAGGUCAUAACCAUAACGGCCCGAAGGUAGCGAAAUUCCUUGUCGGGUAAGUUCUGAUUCGCACGAAAGGCAUAACGAUAUGGGCACUGUCUCGCAGAGAGGCUCGGUGAAAUAGAUAUGUCUGUGAAGAUGCGGACUACCUGCACUGGACAGAAAGACCCUAUGAAGCUUCACUGUUCCCUGGGAAUAGCUUUAGGCCUUUCCUACGCAGCUUGGGUGGAGGGCGAAAAGGCCUCCUUUCGAGGGGCACGAGCCAUCAAUGAGAUACCACUCUGGAAGAGCUAGAAUUCUCACCUUGUGUCAGGACCUACAGGCCAAGGGACAGUCUCAGGUAGACAGUUUCUAUGGGGAGUAGGCCUCCCAAAAGGUAACAAAGGCGUGCAAAGGUUUCCUCGGGCCAGACGAAGAUUGGCCUUCAAGUACAAAGGCAGAAGGGAACUUGACUGCAAGACCCACCCGUCGAGUAGGGACAAAAGUCGACCUUAGUGAUCCAACGGUGCUGAGUGGAAGGGCCUUCACUUAGCGGAUAAAAGUUACUCUAGGGAUAACAGGUUGAUCUUCCCCAAGAGCUCACAUCGACGGGAAAGUUAGGCACCUCGAUGUAGGCUCUUCGCCACCUGGGGCUGUAGUAUGUUCCAAGGGUUGGGCUGUUUGGCCCAUUAAAGCGGUAUGUGAGCUAGGUUCAGAACGUCGUGAGACAGUUUGGUCCAUAUCUGGUGUGGGCGUUAGAGCAUUGAGAGGAUCUUUCCCUAGUACGAGAGGAUCGGGAAGGACGCACCUAUAUAGCCAAGUGCGGAGUGAAUAACUGCUGAGAGCAUCUAAGUAGUAAGCGCACCCCAAGAUGAGUGCUCUCCUAUUCUGACUUCCCGAGAGCCUCUAGCAGCAUAGCCGAGACAACAAUGGGUUCUCUGCCCCUGUGGGGAUGGAGCGACAGAAGUUUUGAGAAUUCAAGAGAAUGUCACGGUGAAAUGAGUUGUUUAUCUUUACGAUAGGUGUCAAGUGGAAGUGCAGUGA
rnacentral:rRNA from 1 species